AGAGAAAGAGAGAAAGAGAAAGAAAGAAAGAAAGAAAGGAAUAUAAAGAAGAGAGAUGUCGACUGCUUACUUUCCCCGUUUCAAAUUUCCUUUUGUCGAUUAUUCUGCCGUCCUCCUAU
rnacentral:ribozyme from 1 species